rnacentral:lncRNA from 1 species
GGGUCAAUGUUCUUAACUCGGAGAUAAAAACUGGUGAUGAUUGUGUUUCAAUUGGGGAUGGUUCCAAAAAUUUGGUUAUCAAUGGAGUAACCUGUGGACCAGGACAUGGUAUCAGUAUUGGCAGUCUCGGAUUGUUUAAAAAUGAAGAACCCGUUGAUAGAGUUACAGUAAAAAACUGCUCCUUCACUAACACUUUCAAUGGUGUUAGAAUCAAAACUUGGCCAGGUGCUGAACGCGGUACCUGUUCUAACAUUCACUUUGAGGAUAUUACCGUCACCAAUGUCAGUUCUCCUAUUAUAAUUGAUCAGAAAUAUUGCCCGUGGAACAAAUGCAAAAUCAAUGUAUGUAUAUAUUUAUCAAAAUCGUAAGAGAGCAAAAAGAGUUAAUCGGUCAUUGAAUCAUUAUUUUGUUGAUGCAGGAAGAAUCAAAAGUUAAACUAAGCAACAUUAGUUUCAAAAACAUUCACGGCACUUCUGCACUUCCAGAAGCCGUGAAGAUUAUUUGCAGCGCUACUUUGCCGUGUGAAAAUGUGGAACUUGCCGACAUUGAAAUUACGCACAGUGGACCGACUGGACCUGCAGUAUCACAAUGUUCGAAUGUGAAGCCUAAAGUUAGUGGCAAACAAAAUCCAGCUCCAUGUUCCGCCCCUCUCCCAGCAAAACCUACCCCGACCGCUUAAUCAAAAGCAUAGGUAUAAAUUUUUUUGAUGAGGUUGUAACUCUUAUAAUUAUAUUGAUUUUGCAAUUCAAUUUUGUUUUGUUUUACAUUCUAUGGUAUUAAGAAUAUUUUUCUUAAAUUUUAAAAAUAGACUCCAACAAAAAAUAUUGCAAUGUGAUAACAUUUUAUGCAUUUAGGCUUACGAUAUAACUAUUUUUGAAAUACUAUUCAACCAGACACUAUUUAAUUAUUAUUAUUUAUUUAUAUAAAUUUGUUGUGUUUUUAUUUAUAAGUUAGCAUAAUAAAAAUUUUAAUAACCAAUAUUUAUACAUUGUAUCAAUUGACAAUCUAAAAUUUUAAUAUAAUAAUUUUAUCAUUUCUCACUCUUUUAAAUUUAACCUUGAAUGUCACAAAUAAAAGCAAAACUGUAAAAAAAUACAAAAUUGCACUAUAUAAAUGUUAGGGAGUUGAAUUUUUUAGAAUCAAGAUUAAACUGACAUAAUGUAUAAACGAUGAGAGCUAAAAUUACUAUUAUGUCAAUAUUAAAAGCUGUCAAAGUUUUAUAAAAUGUUUGGCGAUGCAAUCUAUCAAACUAGUUGAAUAAAAAAUCGAUGGUUUAACAUGUUCAGCCACUUGUUCAAUUAUUGACACUGAAUGUAAUCAUCACUUGAAAAUUUAAAUAAAAUUUUUAAAAUUUAAAUGAUAAUACCCUAAAUUCGAAGACAAAAAGGAAUUUAAUUGUCAAAUUCAAGUGACGAAGUGGACAAAAAAAUAAACCUAAUAGCCAAAUUUUUAAAUGAUACCACGAUUCUCCAAGCACUUUUUGGAACAAGGUUGCCAGCAGUUAUUGGAGGGUCUUAUGCUUGUUUUAUCCCAAUAGCCCACAUAAAAAACGACCCAUCAUUGCAACGAAUUGGUGACUUCUCCUUCGGCUUACGUACUAAGCCCAUGGAAACGCCCAUGGAGGCCUCUACCGUCCAACCCCCAGUUUCGUGGGCUCAGUUUUCUGCAUGAGCGAUCGCACGCUCAUGUGGCCUCGAUUGUCGUGCUUCGGCUUUUUAGCUUUUGUCGAUUUGCGGUAGCGGUCAUGUGGAUACACACUUAAUUGUGAAGACGCGUAAACUCCAGGGAUGCCAAACCUAUAUUUGGCAAUCAAACUUCGAUAAUCGAUUACACAGUUAUACAAUUAUUUAAACUUCAGUUCUUAUGAUCGCUCACUUACCCACCUUCAAUUGAGCAAAGAAAAACGUUUCGCUUACUCAGGUAUUCGCCAACCCUCGUCACUUCACAAGAUUCUUAGGCACCAACUAUAAUUGGUAAGUACUUAAGUUGAUUUGUUAAGGGGGAAUCACUAAAUUUGCUAUACUUACCCAACGAACGAGAGUACGACGACGAGUUGUAGCCGGACGAUUGGCCCCAAAAAGGAAGGGGAAUUUGGCGAUCAGAGGAAAUAAGAGGGGGAGGAGUUGAUUGAGGAGAAACCGAAUAGAUGAGGAGGAAAAAGAAAAAGUAAGGCGGGGGAGGAUAGUUGUGAAAUACGACCACAAAGAGAGAGAAGGGUUCGACCAAAAAGGGAAGAAAGAAUCGGGUUGGGAAGGAAGAAUGAGGGAAGAAAAACAACUAAAUGAAGAGGGGAGGAGGAGAGGAGCUUUAGGCAGCAGAAGAAGAGAAAAGAGAGGAGAGUUUCGGCCAAAACAAAGAAAAAGAGAAGAUGAGCAGAAACGAGUUUGAUUCUUACCGAAAUGUACACUUAACGCAAAAAGAGAGUAACCCGAAGUUGGCGGAAACUUCCACAGUAAAAGAUAAACACUCCCAAUACCGAAAGCUUCUACUACCAAGUGAUUAAUUUGGCACAAGCCUAGCUGAAUUCUUGACUAGCAAUGCCCCAAAUAGGCACAACUCUCCCUCUUAGCCACCUUUCAAUUUUCUCCACAAUUCUCUCCCCUUAUCAUCACUCCAUCGUUUUCACCUCAACUUCCUCCAUGACCAAUUCAAACUUCCUUCGAUAGUAUUUCACUCCAACUCUGCCACUUACACGGCUCAAGCAGCAAAAUAACAAUUCAUUGCGCACCCCAAGACCAGAACCUAAGACCUCAAGAAUACUUCACACGCCACCAACCACUAGACCACAGGCUCAUUUCGUGUCAUAAAACAAACACUAUUAUUUUUAAAACCUAUCUACUAGCGUCCAGGUUCAUUUAAGAGAAAAAAUUAAAAAUUAUGUAAAAGCCAAGACUUGAACCCAAGCUUCUCAAACACCCCCAUACACACCCAAAUAACUUAACCAUUGAAGCAAACAAGAAAUUGCGACAAAACAUGCAAAAAUUAAAACUUGAUUUUUUAGGGCGUUACACUCCAGCAACCCUUUGUAAAACCCUCAACAUCAUCUGGGUCAUCGUGUCGUCACCAUUUUUUUCUCAACAUAGUCCUCCUCUGGUAUUUUGUUUUCUCCCUAGACAAUGGGUAACUCUCUAGGUGCAGCUCUACGUGGCCUACACCUACCACGUCUGCCUUGAAUGUUCAUAGUGAUCUUUCGAAAGUUUGAAAUCUAAAGUAUAUCUAUAGUUUCCAAACAAAAGUUCAAGCAUUAUUUAUCCUCCUAAUUGUUCACAAUCUAAAGUUUACAAAUUAUCUAAAGUUUUAACAGUAAUCUAGAUUUUAAUUUCCUACAGAAAAAUAAAAUUUUCAAAAAUCUUGUGGCAUGGUUUUUCCCAAAAUACCCCCUUUUUGCUGCAUGCAUGCAAACAUAUUUCAAAAUUUCACGGGCCAAGUUUUGAAAACCUAGGCUCUAAUGCCACCAAAUGUAACCUCCCCAACCCGGCCUAAAUGUUGAAUUGAAUUUGAAAGAUUACAUUAGCCACCAAAAUAGCCUAGUAAGCUAUCGAAGUUUUGAAAACAAAUAUUUUUAAACAUAUGUUUAGCUUUAGAACACAACUUAGUUUAUAAUCGAUUUAUUUAUUACUCAAAAUUUUAGUAUUGUUUAGCAUGUGAAUUAUUGAUGUGUGUUUUCUUGUGUUGUGUACAUGUGUAUUCACUGAGCUUUCCCAAGCUCAUCUCUUUACUUUCUUCUCCCUUCACGAUAAGUAGUGCGCGGGAUAUUGAGGACAGUAGCAGUUCAAUGAUCCAUCGCACAAACUUUCUUUCUAUAGUAUGUGUGCCAAGCUUAUAAAACCCCAUGAAGGCAAUGUGGGACAUUUCUAGGCUAGAGCCUUGGAAUGGGACUUAGAUAAUUUUAGACAAUUUAAAAACAAUUUUUUAGAGGGUUGUAAUUGGAUGUUUUUCUCUAUUUGUAAAUUUGGGAUUUUUUUAAUCUAUGUGUUUGCUUGUUUCGCUGAAUUUGCUAUUUGAAUUAUAUGAUACUGCCCAUAUGAACUAACGAGACAUUUUGCAGCUGCCUUAUUCCGCUUAUUAUACGACUUAUAGUUUGAUUUAGAAAAGCAUGCCCCUGGAGUAAAUGCUUGUAUGAAAUAUUUUGUAUAUGUAUGGUGAGUAUGGAUGGCUGGUGUGAUUUGUAGUAGUUUUUCAAAGAGUCACCUCGAUGGCUAAUGUGUCGCUUGAAAUCGGGUCGGACCGCCUCGACCGUGUUUGGGGUGUCAUACAGACAUUUACUCGACAAAUCCAGAUUCGAGCCUAAUUUAACUUUUUUUACCAUAAAAGGUCAUAUUAGUUUAAGAAAUAACUUUUCUCAAUUUAAUCCUUAAAUUUAGAUUUCAUUAAAGUAUACUAAAAUGAUAUUAUUAAUUUCUUCUAUGCCAUCACCUAAUUUUUAAUUAAUAUAUUAAUAUAUUUCUUGUAUUUUUUAGAUUUUAAAAUUUUAGGUGAUGGCGUCGUAGAAUAAAAGUGUUACAUCAUUCGAAUCCAAGUUCCGGACAAAAUUUCCCAAUUUUGUUAAAGACAAAUGUGGACCAAGUUGAAGAAAAUUUAUUUCAUUGAGGAAUAAAUAUUGGUUUAUUCCAUCUUAGUAACCUUAAUGAAAAUAUUGUUGCUUUGUUGGUUGCAGGUUUCGUUAGAUUAUCGUGUCUACAAUUUAGAAACAUGAAUUGCAUGAGAAACCUUAUCAUAACAGGAUUAUCACUCUUCUUAGGGAUUUCCAUCCCUCAAUUCUUCAACCAAUAUUGGAUCUUAUCCCAUCAUGGCCUCGCUCACAACAAUGCAUCCUGAGUAAGUGUUUUUAUUAAAAAAAACUCCAAUCCCGUUAUCUUCAAUGAUAAAAGAGGGUAAAAUAAAGUGAAUGAUAUUUGCAGUUCAAUGCAUUCGUGAACACCGUGUUCUCAUCACCGAUAAUGGUGGGAUUUACGGUGGCGGUGAUCUUAGACAACACGAUAGAAGUGGAGAAAUCGAACAAAGAUAGAGGGAUGCCAUGGUGGGUUAAGUUUAGAUCAUUUAGAGGAGAUAAUAGGAUUGAAUAAUUUUAUACUUUGCCUUUUAAUCUUAAUAGGUUUAUUCCACCAACCUAAAUUUCCCAAAAUUAGGCUUGGUAAUUGCAUAUAUUUUACUAGUUUUUCCAUUGAUAACUAUGGGUAGUAGUAGACGAAAAUUUGUGUAAUUUUUCAAAAUAAAUUAUUUACUAAUUUAUAUUAUUUAAAUUAUUUUUAUUAAUAUUUUUGUAUUAGUGGAAAGAGCUAUUAAAGUAAGGCCUUAACCUUUCGGCUGGCAGUGUGGUUGUUGACAAUUAUAUGGCUAAAAAUCAACCCUCUCUUCCCGCUACAUCUUCCUUCUCAUUGAAUUUUAUAUUAGCCGACAUAGUACCGACCUGUGGACGCCAAUGAGGCGCGAAUGAGCAUCCUCUUUUCUGAAAUAAUAAUGCAUUGCUUGGCUCUUCUGCUAAUGGUUCAAUUUCCCAUUUUUUGGAGCUUCCGGGCAUCUUUAGUUUGCCUAUUUUUGCUAAAGCUUUUCACAUUUACUGGGUGCUUGAAGUGUGUCCAUUGUAACAGCAGUGAGGGCAUGACAAAACUUUACACAUCAAGGUCUAACCUUCUCAGCCCUAAUGGCUAAACACCAACAUAUGAUAGAGUUUUCAACUCGAUGCAAAGAGACUAUGAUUUUUUUUGUAAUUCAUUUUUUAUUUACAUCUUAUUGUGUACAUUUAUCCGAGAUUUGAUCCUCACUUGUAAUUUUUUUGUUGAAUGGAUAUUUUUUUUCAAAACCUUACCAUUGAAUUGAAAUAAAAUAAAAGCAUACUAGCAUAUUACGUUUAUUCUUUAAAAAAUGAAGAACAAAGAUAUUUAGUAGCAUUAUAACUACAAUUGUAGACCAUUGCUGGUACAUGAAAUAAUUAUAUGAAAUUGCUAUGAGACUUUGAAUUCAAGUAAUCUACCCAACAGAGUUGGUGCCCCUUGGCUUGUGACACCAACUCAGUCAAGGCAGGCUCUGUUUCAUUCAUUGAAAAUGGUUUCAGAAAAAUAUUUUCUACAUUUUGCUAUGUUUGUUUCAUUGAAAACAGUUUGGUUAAUGGACAAUAACUUAUAAGUCAACGAAAAAUAAGCCCUCUUUUCCUCUAGAGUAACUUACCCUUUACGAGUGAUUUUAUUUUUAUAUAAAGAUUAACUUAAGUCAAGCUUAAUAUUAUUAUAUUAUUAAUAAAUUUUUAUUUUUAAAAUUAAUAAAAUAUUAUAAUUUUCAAUAUUAUUAAACAUACAUAUUUAGUUAUCUAUUUCUAACCAUGUAAUAAAUUAUUCAUAUAAUAUAGAAAAUAAAUUAAUAAUGGAUAAUUUUAUUCAUCGUUUUUUUAUACAAAGCCUAGAACUACUCAUUACUCCUCCCCAACCCUUAAUGUAGAAGAGCAUUAAUGCCCUUCAACAUGCUCGAACCCACGGUCUCCUGCAUGUGCAACAAUGUCGAUGCCAAUCGAGCUAAGUCGACAAUUUUAUUCGUCAUUUUCAUUUCUAUAUAGAAACCUUAAAUAGAUAUCUUAAGUCACGUGUUAGUUAAUAAUUUUUACUAUAUCAAGUUUGUUGGAAAAUGAACGAGCAAAUUCCCUUCAAAAAAGGAAAAGAAGUGCUAAUUAUAGUAAGUAAAACUUGGUCAUAUUAUUUACCCACGCUAGUUAAAAUAGAAAUUGUUUAUUUGGUUGUAAUUCGGCCUUACUAUCUCUAUAUAAGAUGGUUUGAAACAAAACAAAAGACAAAAAUUAUUCUCUCUUUGAAGUAAAUAAAAAUAAAGUAUGGCUAUCCAAUUUAAUUGUGUUUCAUCCAUGUUAAUACUAGUACUUUUAUCCAUAUCAUCCGUUGAAGGUCAAGGAGGAGGAGGUGGUGGUGUUAUUGAUGUUGUUGCAAAGUUUGGUGCAAAGGCAGACGAGAAAACAGAUUUGAGUAAGGUAAGCAAAAUAUCAUAUAAUUUUAUAGUCAGCAGAUAAAAGUAUGCAUAACUAUUUUUCAAAUCUCUUUUCUUUAUAUGUAUCCUUUUUUAUUUUNNNNNNNNNNNNNNNNNNNNNNNNNNNNNNNNNNNNNNNNNNNNNNNNNNNNNNNNNNNNNNNNNNNNNNNNNNNNNNNNNNNNNNNNNNNNNNNNNNNNNNNNNNNNNNNNNNNNNNNNNNNNNNNNNNCUAUUGAGCUUCAAGUUGAAGGCACUGUGAAGGCUCCGGCAAACCCUGGUGCUUUCAAGGAGCCUAAAUGGAUUACCUUCAAUAGAAUUGAAAAUUUCAAAUUGUCUGGCGGAGGACUUUUCGAUGGCCAGGGAACCACUGCUUAUAAAAGGGAAGGCUGCAAAAACCAUGAUUAUUGUGGUUCACUUCCUAUUGUAAGUUAUUUUCUUAUCGAUAAGUUAUGACUUUUGUUUUUAUAAAUAGAAUUAAGUAAUAAUUAUUUUUUGUUUCAUUCUGGAAUUAAACAGAACCUAAGGUUUGAUUUUUUAACCAACGCAAUGAUACAAGAUAUAACUACCAAAGACAGCAAGCAGUUCCACGUUAAUGUUCUAGGAUGCAAAAACAUUACUUUCGAACAUUUCACCAUAUCUGCACCUGAUGAAAGCCCAAACACAGAUGGGAUUCACAUCGGGAGAUCAGAUGGGGUCAAUGUUCUUAACUCGGAGAUAAAAACUGGUGAUGAUUGUGUUUCAAUUGGGGAUGGUUCCAAAAAUUUGGUUAUCAAUGGAGUAACCUGUGGACCAGGACAUGGUAUCAGUAUUGGCAGUCUCGGAUUGUUUAAAAAUGAAGAACCCGUUGAUGGAGUUACAGUAAAAAACUGCUCCUUCACUAACACUUCCAAUGGUGUUAGAAUCAAAACUUGGCCAGGUGCUGA